rnacentral:rRNA from 1 species
GGAUUAGAUACCCUGGUAGUCCACGCCCUAAACGAUGAAUGCUAGUCGUUAGAGGUUUUACACCUUUAGGGACGCAGUUAACACAUUAAGCAUUCCGCCUGGGGAGUACGGUCGCAAGAUUAAAACUCAAAGGAAUAGACGGGGACCCGCACAAGUGGUGGAGCAUGUGGUUUAAUUCGAAGAUACGCGAAGAACCUUACCCAGACUUGAUAUCCUUGGAAUCUUUCAGAGAUGGAGGAGUGCUAGCUUGCUAGAACCAAGUGACAGGUGCUGCACGGCUGUCGUCAGCUCGUGCCG